UGUAGUUAGAAAUGAGGAGUGUGAACUCCAGUGUGCAGUUCCAGCAGAGCUGGUCUAACCUGGAAAAAUUACAGCUACAGUCAUCUUGCUUGUGGUACCAGGGAUUCUCACAGGGGUUUUGAAGUUGGUGGUGCUUGUUGGUCCUGAGCUGUGGUCCACACAGGCAAAAGGCCAAAAUUAGCUUCUUAAAACCACCCCCCAGAUAUUGAUAUUUAUUGGGGUGUUUGUGCGAGCACGUGGGUUAAUGUCAGGCAGAAAUAGGUCCCGGGCAGCACGUGUAAUUAGAGUGUAGGUGUGUGCAUAUGGGUGGGGGAAUGGCUGAGGGUGCAUGGGCUGGCUGGUGUCUGCACACAUGUUGCGGUGUCCACUUUCACCCCAAGUAGGGGCAUAGGGACGUGCUCACUUCUUAGGAUCAGCCAGAGGUAGCAGUGUCUGGACAUUGGUCCCUUAAAGCAAGGAAAUUCUAAGAUGGCAGCAAAUUGCCAAACUGUGGGAGGGAUUGGUUUGGAUUGUGCUGGCUGAAUGAGAAAGGGGCCCUUGUUCUUGUUAACUUCCCUCCAGGGACCAGACAUCCUGGGCACCAUUUUUAUCCAGAUGCCAACAAUCCAGGAAAGGUCUGUGAGAGGCUUCCUGCUGGAAAGGGUUUCCAUUCUUGCUGGCUUCCAUCUAUAGGCAGUGACCAGCAGCCUCCUCAGAAAGCCUCUGCCAAUGGACAGGUACUUGCCACUCCCUACCUCUUGUGCCUGGUGGCACACGCAUAUCCCGUAGACUAGCAAAGCCCAUAGAGUUUCAAGUCAGCUGCAGAUCCUUUGGGAUGAGUUGGUAAGAGUCAAUGUCCUAGUGCAUUUGCACAGGAAAUGCCAGGCUUGUGCUAAUAGCAUUGGCAGAUGACGUCACUGUGCCCCAACCCUGUCCUAGACCAGGAGAGCCCUUGGCCUUUGCUUCAAUGCCCUAUUUCUUCAUGACAUCACAGGAGUAUCCACAGCUCAUAUGUAAUUUGUGUUAAAUUGCAGUGACACUUCUGAGCUCUGGAGGGCCUUGGGUGGGGAUGAUUUCUUCACCCUCCAUAUACUAUGCUUGCUCAUGAGCAGGAUUCAACAUCCAGCCAGAACAGACAGGAACUCAGCUGAGGACAUGGUGGCCCUCGGACCUCUAGCAGCAACAUGUGCAUCUUUGGAGAUGUUCACUACCAUUCACUCCAGCCCCAGCCCAGUGCUGAGGGAGCUGGUCCCAGAGAUCCUCUGUGCUUUUCUGGAGCAAGUUGGCCACACUGUGGGGCAGGACAUGCCACUUGCCACAGGGAGCAUCCAGUAGAGGCAGCUGCAAGCAGUGGGCAACCCUUGCAGGCUUUCUAUGGGGACCCUGGCCUGUGUCAUAUCUAAGGGCCUUGGGGAGAGAGUGGCUGCGAAAAGGGAACUUGGCCACUCCUUGAGAGCCCUCAGACACACCAUGAGGGGGUGUGCCAGUUGGCCAGGUAAGAGAGGCAGGCUGCACUGCAUCUGUGCUCUAGGCAGUGGGAUGAGUGGUGGAGGGGGAACUUUCCACGCUGAACCUGCAGGUUAUGUGGGGCUGGAGACAUGGAGCUUGUUCUCCAAAAGAUGAGAGCUGCCACAUCAAAGCAACUGAGUGUUGGCAGUGCCCAGCCAGUCCCAGAACUAGUGGUUUUCUCUUGCAGGGCUCUGCUUCCAUUGGGCAUAAUAACACCCACAUUCAUACCUGCAGUGGGUCAGUUUCUCAACUGAAAAGCUGUUCAUUACUGGUACAGCCUUCAUCAGCCAGAUAAGCACCCAUAGAGAAUGAGCAGUUUGAUGAAAAGGUGGCUGUUUGAUGUGCUCUUUCCCUGGGGAGCUGCUUGCUCUCCUUCCUAGGAGAGAGGAUCACUGGAGGCAGUUGAGAGGUUUUAUUUCUGUCCUUGCCCCUGCAUCGCCAUUUCUGCCACAUGAGAAGGAGAGGCAGACAAGGAUUUCCUUACUGACCUGCCCCUAUUGAGCUGUAAUCCUAGCCAGAAGCUCGGAGUUUGGUCCUAACUAGUGCAUUUUCUAUAUCCACCCAGCAUCCCAGGGAGACACUGCUCUAAAGCAAGCAAUGUCCCAAUCUACUCGCAUUGGCAUCAUCUCUCUCACUUAGACUAAGCCCCUGUCUUCGUGAUUUGCCUGGCUCUGAGCAGACAAGCCUUCCCGUGGCCAACAGGAGAGCGCCACACGCUGAGUCUCUUCCUCGCGGUGGUCUGUGGGAUUGUGCUCUGGCACGGGUUACUUUUCUGCUGCAGGGCUGGGCUGUUGGGAAUGACUGUGCUGGAUCUCACGGACACAUUAGUUUCUUUUAGCUCAUGUGUGACCCUAUCAUUUAAGAGCAGAAGCUCCUGAAGCCAGUGCUUCAUUUACUUCAACAGCGAGCCAGGGACUCUAAUAACCUGGUUCGGCAGAUGGCAGCUAGAGGACUGGGCAAUAUAGUUUAUGGUGCCCCUGAGCAGGUGAGGUUGAAAUCCCUCUGCAUGCUCUAGAAAGCAGCUUGACUGUAGAGACCAAACAAUGAGGCAGGGCCGAAAGGGUGCACAAGAACCUGAAGUGUAUCCAGUUUUGCUGUCUCACCCCUUGUGGUGUCUCUGGAAACAGUUGGGUGUGACAAGUGUAAUUUUGGUGCAGAAGUGGAUACCUUGUGUCUCACAGGCAUACCAGAAUGCAACCAUGGGCGCUUGGUCAGAUGAAAUCCCGAAUGCUCUGUGAAUGGGAAAGCCCAGAGGUGCGGAGCAUAAGCACUGAUCGGUGUGUCAUGUCUUCUGUUUGUACAGCUGAAAAAACACCAGAACUCCAUCCUAGAGAUCUUGUUGCAGGCAUCAUUUGUGCCUACAGUGCUCAGAUCAUGCAGGAGGGCACGCACACUGGCCAAUGCCUUGAAUCAUCUAGAGACAGAUGUGGGGCUCUUGGUUUGAGAUGUAGUCACACACAUCAACACACAGGCCUUUCUUCAACCAUGUGAGUGAGCAGCACUCUCCACCCCCAUUCCAAUGCUCUUCAUUUGGGGCCCUUUCAGAGGUGGGAGAUGCACUUGCUGCCCCUUGUUCCAUUCCAAACUGGAAGAUCUUAAGUUCUGUGCAAGAGAUGAGUUUUCAGGAGGAAAAGCAAGUGAAGAGAAUGGGAUGAGAGAUGGGCCCUUGUAGACAAGGAGGGACUCUCAGGAGACUGGGUGAGGCUGCAGCUGGGGUGAUGUGGCUCUGUAGGGCUCUGGGGCUGUUCUCUGCCAUGUUGAUUCUCCUGAGUUGGAAGCAGAGCUGGGCAGAGACAAGUGACCACAGGGGCUGGGGGAUUUGGUUUUGCUGGGAUUCAGAAUCAAAGCCCCUAGUGCCCUGAAGUUCAGGGAACGAGGCUUGCUGCUGCUCCCCGAGCUCCGCUGAGAGCGCUGGCUCCCAGGCAGGCCACCUAGAGCAGGACCUGUUAAAGCCCAUCUCCCUGGCAGACCACCUGGCAGGCUGGAAACCAAAGGCUCCUGUCACGAGCUGUGCCAGGCCCAUGAGAGAAAGGUUUGGUUGUGACUACACAGGUUUCUUGGCCACAGGAUGAUGACAACCUUCACUCAGUGGCUUUUGCCCUCUUCGACGCCCUGGUAAGCUGCAUAAAGAGAAGAAGGCAAGCCUAUUUUAGGAGCCAGGUGAGGCAGAGCUUGGCAGCACUCCUGUUUCACCUGCAGGACCCCAACCUGCAGGUGGCCAAGGAGUGCAGAACAACUUUGAGCCUCUGCUGCCCUUACCUGGGCUUAAGGAGGGUGCAGGCAACUCUGACCUUCCAUGUCCAGGGGCCAGAGCAGGUGAAACAAGAGCAGCUGCUGUGGGACCUCUGCAGGCACUUGGUGAGUGAGUUUGUGAGUGGCAGGAGGUGACUGAGGGUAGGGGUCAUUGUAGGAUGGAGGGAGGGACCUGGGGCACGGUGUACAUAACUGCAAGGAUUGUGUCUGGGACCAUGAGGCAUGGGACAGGCCAAGAUUGCUCCUUUUAGUUCCUUGGUGCUCCUGUUUCCUCCUGAUCAGUACCAGCAUGUGGUAUGAAAGCACUUCUCACCAGAGGGAGCUCAUGUGUCCUUGGUUCCCUCCAGGCCAAAGAAAAACCUGCUGUCCUGGUGGGUCUUGCCAGGCAGCCUAGAGGCACUACAUGAGCCCGUGGCCAGAGAUUUGGGCAGCAGCUGUCAAAUUUAUGGGUGAGAGAGGAUGCCUGGUCCCUUUUCAUUCUCCCCUCUGCCCCCAAGAGGAAUGGUAAAGCUGUUGCUGAGCAGGAUCAGGCUGUUAAUCAGCCUGUGCCUCAGGUUUCCUAGAAAGGAUUUGGAAAGAAUGAUGCUCCCAGGGUUGCAAGGCUAGUGUUGAGAGGGAUUCAACCAGAUAGUAUGGCUGGGGGUUGUGGCAGACAAGCCCUGUGCUGUGAUUCAGUAGCCCUGAUUGAUGGAGAUGUGUCUGGGACAUGGUCACCCAGCACAGCUCAUGAUUGCUUUGCAUCACUUCAUGGGGAAGGGAGAUGGGAAGGGGCAUGGGCCUCCUGGGCUGCUGAGCACAGGGUGCUAGCCCUGGGAGAGAGAUCCCUUCAUGACCUUAUUGAGCCCAUCUUGAAACUCCUUGCACUUCUCUUCCUCCUGGGAAGGAGGCUGUGUCCCCUGCAUGUCCAUCUGCUGCUGGAGUUCCUGCCACCCCAGCUUGUCAGGGAGGGCUGGGUCUCUGCUCUGCCUGCCCCUGUGCUGAGGGUGCAGAGAGGCUCCUGGUGCCCUUUACACCCACAGUCCAGCCCAGGAAGAGAAGUAGGUUUCUGUGGUUUACCAGAGAUGUUGGGAGCAGCCCAUGUGUAAAUUGCCCUUUUCUUUCUGGCUCCCAGACCUUUACUCAGACCAUGAGACCCAACAGUGAACGUGUUGGCCACAGCCCACCUAUGAUGGCAAACACAGCACAGGGGAGCCAAAGACCUGCCUCUGGGCUGAGUUCUCCUUGUCCCCUGACCAUGGGAAGCUGGAUCUGUUCUCCCUGUUGUGUGUUUAGGCAUCAUUGUGGAGUAUGCUACCCCAGGGAGUGCCAAAUGGAUAGAUGUUGCCCACCUGCUGAGCUGUAAGCCAGAAAUCCAUUCCCUAUUUUUAGCCCCCUAACCCCUGCCCCCCACGCCACCACUCGUGAACCAUCCAGCCACCCUAGACUGCCAAACCCUAGACAGUGGCAGUGGGGCAUAGAGCCCAGCCCACAGCAGCAGCCCACCUCUGCCCUGCAGACAAAUCUGGGGGGCAUGUGCCCCCCAGGCCUCUCCCAAGGUGUGCAUGGUGGUGGGAGCCCCUCCACACUCCUGGAUAAGCUUCCCAGGCUCUGAACAUCCCGCAACCUACCCUGGGGCCCUUUUCACCCCAGCCCCUGCCCCUGCCAGUGUUCCCAGAGAAUAAGCAUUGGCAUCUGUGUUUUCUCUCAGGGGGUUUGAAACAUGGGUAGGGCAGGCAUGAGCAAUCACAAGCUCAGUUGGGCAGAAAAUGGAUUUUCUGUCUUACAAAUAAAAAACUGAGAUCUAAAAAUGCUUCCUCUUCUGCAUCAGGAUGAAACUGUGACCUGAGGAAAUGUAGUGCAGUAGUCCUGUCACUGCAGGCUGGGAGAUCCUGAAUCCAGCUCCACUCUAGCCACAGAUUUCCCUGGCUUGAAUGUAUUCUCUGAAGCUGGAGCCUCUCUAGACAGGCUCCCUGACCCUGUGCCACACUCAGAGACAGACUCUGGGGUGGGAUGCUAUGCAGUUACACAUUAGAAGACAGCCUUUGCUCUGAAGAGCCUUUGUUUUCCAUUGGGCAUUUUGCCCAUACUGCAGAAGGGAGGUUUGCCAGCUUUGCAAAGAUAUUGAAUUUUAGCCGGUUUUAAAUAACACCUUCAUAAUUUUACAAAGAGGAAGCAAGUUUGACCACCUGAAACCUGAGAUCCUGCUCCUGCCUUUGUUUGAGGUAAUUUGCAUUAUCACAGAGCCUCGCAGCAGAACUCAGAGAUACCUUACCACAUAAGAAAUGCCUGCCCAGGACAGCAUUCCAUCUAUUUAAUCCUCUGUGAAAUAUGAAACACUCUAACCAGAAGGAAAUAUGACUACAUCCUGCUUACUACCAAACAACUUUGAGGUAAACAGAAUAUUCCAACUUUUCUCUGAGCCUAAUCUGCAUCUAAAAUGAACUGUUCCAAACAAGAGAUAUUACCACACCUUCAACUCUUCUAUGAACUAUGAACUUCCAUUUCUAGCCAGGAGAACUUGUACAAUCUUUUCUCUGAUGCCUGAAGAAGGGUGUUUGUGCCUGAAAGCUUGCAAAUUAGGAUUUUUUUUUGAAAAAAUCUGGUUGGUCUAAUAAAAGAUAUCACCUCUA